rnacentral:rRNA from 1 species
UGUGGACCUCGUCUGAGGGGGAGAGAACCCGCCAAAUUUAAGCAUAUUAAUAAGCGGAGGAAAAGAAACCAACCGGGAUUCCCCGAGUAAGGGCGACUGAAACGGGAUGAGCCCAGCGCAUAACCUCGCGGUCGUACUCGGCCGUCGAGGGGUGUUGCGUUUCGGUGCAUCCAUCCCGCCCGAGCUGCUCACCGCCUAAGUCAUUGCUUGAAAGCAGCCCCAGGGAGGGUGAUAGGCCCGUGUGGCGGCGCCUGUAAAGCAGGUGUAGGCAGGUUCGGGCGGAGGGAUGUUCACCGCAGAGUCGGGUUGCUUAGUACUGCAGCCCUAAGCAGGUGGUAAACUCCAUCUAAGGCUAAAUACUACCACGAGUCCGAUAGAAGACAAGUACCGUGAGGGAAAGCUGAAAAGGACUUUGAAGAGAGAGUUAACAAGGACGUGAAACCGUUAGAAGCCUAAACGGGUGGAACUGCGAUGGUCGAACGAGGGGAUUCCGCCCUGCGGCCCGUGGCGCGGAAGGCGGUCCAUUGCGAUGGAAAGACCCGGCAUGAAUUGGGGUAGCCGUGGCUCCGUCCCCGCGCGCGCGUGGUUCGCGGGGCUUAUUUCGCCCUCUAGUAGGCAUCGCCGCGACUCGUUGAGGGGACACCAAGGGCCGCGUCGGACUGGUAGGCCGCACCCUCGGGUGCGGGCGACGACCGGCCGCGGUUCCGACGUGCCCCCGCGACGAGCACUGCCAGGAGGCCUGGCGCGUACCCUCGGGUGCGUGCCGGCACCUCUCGCGGCGCAGACUGGGAUCGGUAAUCCACCCGACCCGUCUUGAAACACGGACCAAGGAGUCCAACAGGUGCGCGAGUCUAAGGGUGUGUCUAAACCCGGAGGCGAAAUGAAAGUGAGCCCUACAGAGGCAGGCCGAUCUCUGGCCGUGCGCCCUCGCGCAGCCGGGCCGGGCUCUCGCCGGGAGGCGUUGCCCGUGAUGCCGGCGUGCGGGACGUGCGGCGCCCGCAAGGGUUGCCCCUGAACACGGGGCCGGAGCGCAGGCCGAGGACUUGCCUUUGUGCGGCCCCGGGGACGGGACUCUGUCCUCACCCGGGUGUCCGCCGGCAAGUACCUAAGAGCGCAUACGUUGGGACCCGAAAGAUGGUGAACUAUGCCUGGCGAGGACGAAGCCAGAGGAAACUCUGGUGGAGGUCCGAAGCAGUUCUGACGUGCAAAUCGAUUGUCAGAGCUGGGUAUAGGGGCGAAAGACUAAUCGAACCAUCUAGUAGCUGGUUCCCU